AGGGCUGUGCAGAAGGUGGGUUCCAGCGUCUGGUCGGGUUGCCCGUCGGCGUCAGUUGCGCUGAGAGAUGCGCGUUCACUGAGCGGGAGGAGGACCACUGCCAUCCCUCCGCGCGCCUCACUCCUAAGAACCUCCCCAUCAGCCACAUCCAUAUCCCAUCAUCACACGCACACCGGCUCCUGCCUGGAAUUCUUCCUGGGAUUAUUAUUAGCGUUAUUUUAUUUCUGCGCCGCUCUGAACCGUCCGGGAUCGUCUCUGCGCGCAAAGAUCUGUUGAAGGUGUUUCUGAAUCUGGCAGUUGAGCCAUGGGGCAGGAAACUGGACUAACAGUGAUGGUUGUGGCCUUCAAUCCAGGAAGUCGCCUCAAGGAAAAAUCACUAGACAUCACUUUGAAUCACUGACAAUAGCACAAAGGAACACCUUCAUCCUGGCACUUGCGCCUGCCCACGUUAUGUGGAAACAGGGUAUUUGGCAUAUCUAUCUGAUUAGGCUUGGCUGAGAAGAUUAAACUUUGUGCACUAUCAACAUUGAGCCCCAUCAAA